rnacentral:rRNA from 1 species
UACGUAGGGUGCAAGCGUUGUCCGGAAUUAUUGGGCGUAAAGAGCUCGUAGGCGGUCUGUCGCGUCUGCUGUGAAAACUCAGGGCUUAACCCUGAGCUUGCAGUGGGUACGGGCAGACUAGAGUGCGGUAGGGGAGACUGGAAUUCCUGGUGUAGCGGUGAAAUGCGCAGAUAUCAGGAGGAACACCGGUGGCGAAGGCGGGUCUCUGGGCCGUAACUGACGCCUGGAGGAGCGAAAAGCAUGGGGAGCGAACAGG